AGCAGCCGCGGUAAUUCCAGCUCCAAUAGCGUAUAUUAAAGUUGUUGCAGUUAAAAAGCUCGUAGUUGAAUUUCGGGAUCAAAUUGUCGGUCGUGCCUCGGUACGUACUGGCGUUAUUGGUUCCUCCCUUCUGAAGAACCGCGAUGUCAUUAAUUUGGUGUCGCGGGGAAUCAGGACUGUUACUUUGAAAAAAUUAGAGUGUUUAAAGCAGGCUCGCGCUUGAAUACAUUAGCAUGGAAUAAUGAAAUAGGACGUUUGAUUCUAUUUUGUUGGUUUCUAGGAUCGACGUAAUGAUUAAUAGGGAUAGUUGGGGGCAUUAGUAUUCAAUUGUCAGAGGUGAGAUUCUUGGAUUUAUUGAAGACUAACUACUGCGAAAGCAUUUGCCAAGGAUGUUUUCAUUAAUCAAGAGCGAAAGUUAGGGGAUCGAAAGACGAUCAGAUACCGUCGUAGUCUUAACCAUAAACUAUGCCGACUAGGGAUCGGAUGAUGUUAAUUUUUU
rnacentral:rRNA from 1 species